UUCGGAUCGGGGUCUGCAACUCGACCCCGUGAAGUCGGAGUCGCUAGUAAUCGCAGAUCAGCAACGCUGCGGUGAAUACGUUCCCGGGCCUUGUACACACCGCCCGUCACGUCACGAAAGUUGGUAACACCCGAAGCCCAUGGCCUAACCCACUUGUUGGGGGGGAGUGGUCGAAGGUGGGACCGGCGAUUGGGACGAAGUCGUAACAAGGUAGCCGUACCGGAAGGUGCGGCUGGAUCACCUCCUUUCUAAGGAGCU
rnacentral:rRNA from 1 species